CCCUUAGAUGUUCUGGGCCGCACGCGCGCUACACUGACGAUGGCAACGAGUUUUUCCUUCGCCGAAAGGUGUGGGUAAUCUUUUGAAACAUCGUCGUGCUGGGGAUAGAUCAUUGCAAUUUUUGAUCUUGAACGAGGAAUUCCUAGUAAGCGCGAGUCAUCAGCUCGCGUUGAUUACGUCCCUGCCCUUUGUACACACCGCCCGUCGCUACUACCGAUUGAAUGGUUUAGUGAGGACUCCUGAUUGGCGCCGCCGCCCCGGCAACGGAGCAGCGGACUGCCGUAAAGUUGUUCAAACUUGAUCAUUUAGAGGAAGUAAAAGUCGUAACA
rnacentral:rRNA from 1 species